CGGGCGGCCGGGCGGAGUUGGCUCCCGGCGGUGGUGGCUUCACUUUCCAGGACUGAGGGGCGGCCAGAGCCGCAGCCGCGGGCAGCAGCCUCGAGAGCCGGAGCUGGAAAGGCCGGGGGCGGCGUUGAAUUGUAUUGUCAAGGUGAUGUGCAGAGGGGUUACAGUUACAAACAUAAGUACCCAAAUAAGAAUAGGAGAGUGAGUAGUGACCCCUUGAGACUGUUGAAGUUAUUCAUUGUCCUCAGAAUCAUGGAUACAUCAAGCAGUGCAAGAAGGUGAACCAACAUUCCACAUCUCUUCACCAAGUCACAGAUCAGCCAACAACCAGAAUCAAAGCCUGAAAACUCUUCCAUCAGACACAAGCGCUCUGCAGGGUUGACUAUGGAGGGAAGGAAAGUGUGGGACAAGCCAGGUGGCAGUGGAUCUUGCCUUUCAUCCUAGCUGCUCAGGAAAAUUACAGUUCCAAGCUAGCCUACACAGACAAGUCUACAAGUGUCUACUUCCAAUUCACCAUCUAAAAGCCAGACUUGGGGAAUGGUUCAAGUAGUAGAGAGCCAGCCAGGAGCUGAGAGAGUGUUAGUUGAAACCGUGGCAUCACAAGAUGGAUGCAAACUCUGCUUGUGGUACCAGUUUCUCCAUGGCUAUUUCUAUCCCUCAGACAUCAUGGAACCAUACAUAGAGCAGAGUUUGAGAAAGUUCACCAUCACAUUUCAAAUCAAUGGGGUGACUAGAAACUGACAAAAGACGAGACACACCAGUGCCGUAUGCUAUUUGAUUCUUUCUAAUAAAAAGUGAGAACCGUCUAUCACCUCUGUAAAAUUUAAAGACAAUGUGGGAUGCAUGUUGUUGCUUUCUAAUUUGAAAAAGAUGAAGGUACAUUUUAACUUGCCUGACAUAUGCAUAUAACGCACAGAAUACCCUUGCCCCAAUUCUCCUAGGUUCAGACUUUUCCUUUCUGGAUUUUCUUAACCACUAGUUGGUUUGACAAGUUCAAACCCAUGGAGUACUGGUACUAUAAAACUUCUA